GACGAACGCUGGCGGCGUGCUUAACACAUGCAAGUCGAACGGUGAAGGGACUGGUUUUGCUGGUCCUGGAUGAGUGGCGAACGGGUGAGUAACACGUGAGUAACCUGCCCCCUUCUUCUGGAUAACCGCAUGAAAGUGUGGCUAAUACGGGAUAUUCUGGGUCUGUCGCAUGGUGGGCCUGGGAAAGAUUGCGCCUUUUUUGGUGUUUUUGGUGGGGGAUGGGCUCGCGGCCUAUCAGCUUGUUGGUGGGGUGAUGGCCUACCAAGGCGGUGACGGGUAGCCGGCCUGAGAGGGUGGACGGUCACACUGGGACUGAGACACGGCCCAGACUGCUACGGGAGGCAGCAGUGGGGAAUAUUGCACAAUGGGCGCAAGCCUGAUGCAGCGACGCCGCGUGAGGGAUGGAGGCCGUCGGGUUGUGAACCUCUUUCGCCAGUGAAGCAGGCCUGCCUCUUUUUGUGGGUGGGUUGACGGUAGCUGGAGAAGAAGCGCCGGCUAACUACGUG
rnacentral:rRNA from 1 species